rnacentral:rRNA from 1 species
UACGAAGGUCCCAAGCGUUGUUCGGAAUCAUUGGGCGUAAAGGGUGCGUAGGCGGCGUGGUAAGUCAGAUGUGAAAUCCCGGGGCUCAACCCCGGAACUGCAUCCGAUACUGCCAUGCUAGAGGAUUGGAGAGGUAGCUGGAAUUCUUGGUGUAGCAGUGAAAUGCGUAGAGAUCAAGAGGACCACUCGUGGCGAAAGCGAGCUACUGGACAAUUCCUGACGCUGAGGCUCGAAGGCUAGGGUAGCGAAAGGG